AGUGAACGCUGGCGGCGUGCCUAAUACAUGCAAGUCGAACGGAGUAGCGCACGGGUGAGUAAUAUAUAGCUAAUCUGCCUCUUGCUGGAGGACAACAGUUAGAAAUGACUGCUAAUACUCCAUAGCAAGGGAUGUGACUAAAUCGUAUUAGCUAGACGGUGGGGUAACGGCCUACCGAGGCUAUGACGCGUAACUGGUCUGAGAGGAUGAUCAGUCACAUUGGAACUGAGGCACGGUCCAAACUCCUACGGGAGGCAGCAGUAGGGAAUAUUGCGCAAUGGGGGAAACACUGACGGAGCAACGCCGCGUGGAGGAUGACACUUUUCGGAGCGUAAACUCCUUUUGUUAGGGAAGCGGUACCUAACGAAUAAGCACCGGCUAACUCCGUGCCAGCAGCCGCGGUAAUUC
rnacentral:rRNA from 1 species